AUUGCUUCUUGGCCUUUGUUAGCUAAGAUCAAGCAUAGUACCUGUUCUUACCAGUUUAAUAUCUGAUAUGUUCUUUAUCUAAGGACUACAUAUUAAAUGGAUUUUUGGAACAGGGAGCUGGAUUAGGUGUUUACUCCGUGCAUCAACCUGGUUUUGCAGUAUCUCCAGGACUGGUGCCCUUCCU
rfam:Chelonia mydas contig258924, whole genome shotgun sequence.